rnacentral:rRNA from 1 species
GACGUAGGGCGCGAGCGUUGUCCGGAUUUAUUGGGCGUAAAGAGCUCGUAGGCGGCUUGUUGCGUCGACCGUGAAAACCCGGGGCUCAACUUCGGGCUUGCGGUCGAUACGGGCGGGCUAGAGUUCGGUAGGGGAGACUGGAAUUCCUGGUGUAGCGGUGAAAUGCGCAGAUAUCAGGAGGAACACCGGUGGCGAAGGCGGGUCUCUGGGCCUGUACUGACGCUGAGGAGCGAAAGCGUGGGGAGCGAACAGG